rnacentral:rRNA from 1 species
AACGAACGCUGGCGGCAGGCCUAACACAUGCAAGUCGAACGCUCGUAGCAAUACGAGAGUGGCAGACGGGUGAGUAACACGUGGGAACCUUCCCUAUGGUUCGGAAUAGCUCAGGGAAACUUGAGGUAAUACCGGAUAAGCCCUUCGGGGGAAAGGAUUUAUCGCCAUUGGAUGGGCCCGCGUCGGAUUAGCUAGUUGGUGAGGUAACGGCUCACCAAGGCGACGAUCCGUAGCUGGUCUGAGAGGAUGAUCAGCCACACUGGGACUGAGACACGGCCCAGACUCCUACGGGAGGCGGCAGUGGGGAAUAUUGGACAAUGGGCGCAAGCCUGAUCCAGCCAUGCCGCGUGAGUGAUGAAGGCCUUCGGUU